AUUUAUAUAGUAUAAAAGUAUUUGUGACUUCCAAUUACAAGGUCUAUAUUAAUUAUAGUAUAAAUA
rnacentral:tRNA from 1 species